GACGAACGCUGGCGGCGUGCUUAACACAUGCAAGUCGUACGGUAAGGCCCUUUCGGGGGUACACGAGUGGCGAACGGGUGAGUAACACGUGAGUAACCUGCCCACAACUUUGGGAUAACGCUAGGAAACUGGUGCUAAUACUGGAUAUGUGCUCCUGCUGCAUGGUGGGGGUUGGAAAGCUCCGGCGGUUGUGGAUGGACUCGCGGCCUAUCAGCUUGUUGGUGGGGUAGUGGCCUACCAAGGCGGCGACGGGUAGCCGGACUGAGAGGGUGAGCGGCCACAUUGGGACUGAGAUACGGCCCAGACUCCUACGGGAGGCAGCAGUGGGGAAUAUUGCACAAUGGGCGCAAGCCUGAUGCAGCAACGCCGCGUGCGGGAUGACGGCCUUCGGGUUGUAAACCGCUUUCAGCAGGGACGAAGCUUUUUGUGACGGUACCUGCAGAAGAAGCACCGGCUAACUACGUG
rnacentral:rRNA from 1 species